GGGGAUGUAGCUCAGUGGUAGAGCACUUGCCUAGCAGGCAUGAAUUGCUGGCUUCCAUCCCCAGCACCCCCC
rfam:Ictidomys tridecemlineatus contig039580, whole genome shotgun sequence.